rnacentral:rRNA from 1 species
AUUGAACGCUGGCGGCAUGCCUUACACAUGCAAGUCGAACGGUAACAGGUCUUCGGAUGCUGACGAGUGGCGAACGGGUGAGUAAUACAUCGGAACGUGCCUAGUAGUGGGGGAUAACUACUCGAAAGAGUGGCUGAUACCGCAUGAGAUCUACGGAUGAAAGCAGGGGAUCGCAAGACCUUGUGCUACUAGAGCGGCCGAUGGCAGAUUAGGUAGUCGGUGGGAUAAAAGCUUACCAAGCCGACGAUCUGUAGCUGGUCUGAGAGGACGAUCAGCCACACUGGGACUGAGACACGGCCCAGACUCCUACGGGAGGCAGCAGUGGGGAAUUUUGGACAAUGGGCGCAAGCCUGAUCCAGCAAUGCCGCGUGCAGGAUGAAGGCCUUCGGGUUGUAAACUGCUUUUGUACGGAACGAAAAGCCCUGGGUUAAUACCCUGGGGUCAUGACGGUACCGUAAGAAUAAGCACCGGCUAACUACGUGCCAGCAGCCGCCGCAGUAA